rnacentral:rRNA from 1 species
AUUGAACGCUGGCGGCAGGCCUAACACAUGCAAUUCGAACGAGUGGCGGACGGGUGUGAAAUGUCUGGGAAACUGCACGACGGAGGGGGAUCACUACUGGAAACAGUCGCUAAUAACGCAUACCCGCGUCUGUGCCCAGAUGGGCUUAGCUAUUAGGUGGGGUAAGGGCUCACCUAGGCGACGAUCCCUAGCUGGUCGGAGAGGAUGACCAGCCACCCUGGAACUGAGACACGGUCCAGACUCCUACGGUAGGCAGCAGUGGGGAAUAUUGCACAAUGGGCGCAAGCCUGAUGCAGCCAUGCCGCGUGUAUGAAGAAGGCCUUCGGGUUGUAAAGUACUUUCAGCGAGGAGGCGUUACUCGCAGAAGAAGCACCGGCUAACUCCGUGCCAGCCGCCGCGGUAAUUC